CCCUUUGAUCCUAUGUAUGGUCAAUGCAUAUGACAAUUGGAGCGGGUAUUGCGUCCAAUUUUAUUUGAAAUCUUCGUGGAUAGUGAUAGACAGAGGAAAGCAUUUACCAAGGAUGUUUUCAUUAAUCAAGAACGAAAGUUAGGGGAUCGAAGAUGAUUAGAUACCAUCGUAGUCUUAACCAUAAACUAUGCCGACUCGGGGAUUGGCAGUCGUUUACUUAAAAUGACCUUGUCAGGACCGUAUGAGAAAUCAAAGUCUUUGGGUUCCGGGGGGAGUAUGGUCGCAAGGCUGAAACUUAAAGAAUUGACGGAAGGGCACCACCAGGAGUGAGCCUGCGGCUUAAUUUGACUCAUACGGGAAAACUUACCAGGUCAGACAAGUAGGAUUGACAGAUGAGAAGCUCUUCUGAUCUACGGGGGGGGG
rnacentral:ncRNA from 1 species